rnacentral:rRNA from 1 species
CCCUAUGGGGUGCAGCAGGUCCGGUUAUUUCCUUGGCAACAUAAUCUUUGAUGUACAAGUGUCCAUUUUUAUUCAGCACCUGAGCAACACCCUUUAGCACUGCGCUUUUAUCGACAGCAUGUCCAAACGACUCAAGCAUAAGAACCAAAUCGAAAGAUUCGGAUUGAAAAUACCGGGUCAGAUUAUGAAAAUCGACCAGUUGCACAUCGACUUUACCAAUUAGUGUUUGUUGCUUCAGAGUUUGUUGCGCAAUAUCGAGUUGAACCUGUGAAUUCGUUAUGGCAACUAUUUCGACAUCGUACUCACUGGCAAAAAUUGAAGCCGGACCACACACACCACAACCAGCAUCGAGUAUUUUCAUGCCAUUACGUAUACCCGAUUGUUUGACAAUAUGAUGUAUAAGUUGUUCUGUAUCGGGAGAGC